GGCUGAAAUUACGCCUUCCAUGAAGCCGGAAUUGCUAGUAAUGGCAGGUCAGCAUACUGCCGUGAAUACGUUCCCGGGCCUUGUACACACCGCCCGUCACACCAUGAGAGUUGGGGAUACCCGAAGCCUGUGAGCUAACUUUAUAAGGAGCAGCAGUCGAAGGUAGAAUCAAUGAUUGGGGUGAAGUCGUAACAAGGUAGC
rnacentral:rRNA from 1 species